rnacentral:rRNA from 1 species
UACGUAGGGUGCAAGCGUUGUCCGGAAUUAUUGGGCGUAAAGAGCUCGUAGGUGGCCUGUCGCGUCGGCUGUGAAAGCCCGGGGCUUAACCCCGGGUCUGCAGUGGAUACGGGCAGGCUAGAGGUAGGUAGGGGAGAAUGGAAUUCCCGGUGUAGCGGUGAAAUGACGCAGAUAUCGGGAGGAACACCGGUGGCGAAGGCGGUUCUCUGGGCCUUACCUGACGCUCAUGCACGACAGCGUGGGGAUCAAACAGG